AUUGCUCUUUCUCAAAGUCAAAGGGGGGUAUUAAUAGCCAACUGGGACCGAUCCGGCGCGCCAUUUUCUUCGGAAGAGUCGGCCAGUUCAUUCAUCCAGACUUCAGACUUGAUAGAUAGGUUCACUUCGUUCUCAUGGAGAGGGAUCCUCGACGUCGAGGCCAUCGCCCUCUCCCAUCUUCUUCUUCUUCUUCUGGUCGGACUGUGAUCCCGGAUUCGCGUAGUAACUUCGUUCCCAGCCGGAGAAGUCACGGCGAAGCUUGGAAUCGCAAUGCUUCGAGCUUCCAUUCGAGAGGCCGGUCGAGUCGAAAUCCUCCUCCUGGAUCUGCAAAUUCAGACGGUCGUGACCCUAGUGGAACAGUCAGCGGCCUCGAGGAAGCUGCCGAAGAAUCCUCCGGGGACGUUCCGUCUCUGGUUGGAACCUGCCCUUUCAUGUGCCCCGCCUCGGAGAUGGCCCAACGCGAACGGUUACGCGAUCUAGCUGUGUUUGAGAGGCUGCAUGGAAAUCCUAAGAAGACAUCUCCCGACCUAGCUGUCAAGAAGUUUUGUAGAACUAUAUCCACCAAAGAUGUGAAGUCAUCGGAUGUGCGGCCUCUCUCAGUGUUGGAGAAUACUUUAGACUAUCUUCUUAACUUAAUGGAUUCUUCAGGAGAACCUUUUGAAGUGGUUCAUGACUUCAUUUUUGACAGAACCCGGUCCAUUAGACAAGAUCUUAGUAUGCAAAAUAUUGUUGAUAGGAAAGCAAUCAGCAUGUUCGAGAAAAUGGUUAAGUUUCACGUCAUAUCUCACCACAAGCUUCAGUUCAGUAGCGAGGGGACCCACCAUCUCGAAGUCUCAUCGUCGCAUCACCUCAACAUGGAGCAGCUUGCAAAGACUUUGACUUCUCUUUACCAUCUAUAUGAACUGAAUCGAGUUCCCGAUUCUGCUUUCGAGAAUGAGCCAGAGUUCCGCUCACUUUAUGUGCUGCUUUGUCUUAAUUAUGAAAGUCCUAUGAAGGGUGAAUCGCUUGCUCUAUGGUUUCGUCACGUGCCUGCUUCAGUUAUCAGAUCUAAGGAAAUGAUAUUUGCUCGAACGGUCUUGAGGUGUUUCCGUUUCGGAAAUUACAAGCGUUUCUUGGAUACUGUGGCAGCUGAGGCAUCAUUUCUGCAGUUCUGCAUCCUUGAAUCUCACAUAAAUGAGGUUCGAGCCCUCGCUGUUUCAUGCAUAAACAGUAGUGGCUACAAGCUUCAUCCGUUCUCUUUAGCAAAUCUUUCCAGUCUCUUGAUGAUGAAGGAGUCAGAAGCGGAAUCCUUCUGCAAUGCUUGUGGUCUUGAGAUCUCGAUCGACAAUCAUGGUAAUAAGAUGUUGCCCACAAAGCAGUCGACUUUCAGUCGUCCCAAGGCGGGUUUUGGAAACUAUGGAUUCCUAUGUCCGGGACGAACUGACAAGUAAGUGCCGAGUAAAUGGGGAGGAGCCUUUCCAGGCCGAUCGAGCGCCCUGUCUUGAAGUUUAUGAAAUGUGUGGAGUAAAUAGAUGGUUUUAUUUAUUUUAUGUUUAUUAUUUAUGCGGAGGGUUACUCCCGGGUAGCUCUUGGUUUCUGAAGGACCCGCCUGUACUGGGGAAUGUCUAAUGAAGAUGAGCUUUUCAAUGACCGGAAUCACGAUCUCAACUCUACACCUCCUAAAGCGAAGAAGCUGAAAUCAAACGGCCUCACUACUCACAUCUCCAAGCAAAAAUGAUAUCAGAUCACACACCGGAAUCAAGCGAAACAACAUGUUUCUGGGGAGUUCUGAUGCCUCGAGCUAUAUUGAUGAGCAUCAUCGUCAACAAAUGAAAGAAGAUGAACAGAAUUUUCUAACCGGAAGCAACGCAUGCACCAUCUCAUCGACGGUUAGACGAACAUCAAACUUACACUGUCUCACCGUAAUCUGCAGUCAAGAGAUCCGCAUGAGAGGGUGCAGAAGCCCCAGGAGAGGAAGCAACAGAAGGAAGCGCAAAAUAUACGUACGACUAGCGGAGCAGAAGUGAGCGCACGGAGCGAAUCCAACAGAGUCGAGAGUUGCAGCCGGGGGUAAGCAGCUUCAUACCAACCUCAAUAAAAAUUAUUGAAAGAAAAUCUUCGCCUCCCAAAAUAUUCUUACUUACUUUAUUAGGAUACAUAUAUACUGUAACCCCCUUAUAAAAAAAAGAAAAAAGAAAAAAGAUACAUAUAUACUGUAACCUCCAUGUUGAGAGAUCAAAAAUUUUACAUGCCUCA